rnacentral:lncRNA from 10 species
AGAUAUUCCCAUUUCCAACGAAGGCCUCAAAGCGGUCCAAAUAUCCACUUGCAGAUUCUACUAAAAGAGUGUUUCAAAACUGCUCUAUUAUAAAGUAUGUUCACUUUUCUACCAUAGGCUGCAAAGCACUCCAAAUGUCCACUUGAAGAUUCUACAAAAAGAGUGUUUCCAAACUGCUCAAUUAGAAGAAAGGUUCAACUCUGUGAGAUGAAGAAAUCCAUCAAGUAAAUAAAAUUUCAUUUACCUUUGUAAAAAAUAUUUCUACCAAUUCACAUGGAGGACCUUAUUGUUUGGUCCAAUAAUCAGAGAUUUGAAAGAACCUGAUAUUGUUGGCCAGCAGAUUAGAAAAGAGUUAUUAGAGAGAUCUGCCUCCCGAGUUCAAGCGAUUCUCUUGUCUCAGCCUCCUGAGUAGCCAGGAUUACAGGCACGCACCACCACACCAAGCUAAUUUUUUUUUAAAUUUUAUUUUUUAAGUAGAGAUGGGGUUUCACCAUUUUGGCCAAAAUGGUCUAUGUCUCUUGACCUUCUGAUCUGCCCGCCUUGGCUUCCCAAGGUGCUGGGAUUACAGGCGUGAGCCACUGCACCCAGCUGCUAGCUAUUAUUUCUAAUCCUUUGCCAUACUCAGGUAUAAUCUUCCCAAAUCCAGAAGUAAUUUUAUAACUUCAGCUAGUUGCAGGGAUAAAUUAUUGAAAUAUUUUCCUAAAGAAAAUACACAAAUGAAACCUUAAAAAUACAAGGACUGGGCUGGGCACGGUGGCUCGCGCCUGUAAUUCCAGUACUUUGGGAGGCCGAGCUGGGUGGAUCACCUGAGGUCAGGAUUUCGAGACAAGCCUAGCCAACAUGGCGAAACGUCGUCUCUACUAAAAAUACAAAAAUUAGCUGUGCAUGGUGGUGGGCGCCUGUAAUCCCAACUACUCGGGAGGCUGAGGCAGGAAAAUCGCUUGAACCUGGAGGCGGAGGUUGAAGUGAGGCUAGAUCUCACUGCUGGACUGCAACCUGGGGCAACAGAGCAAAAACUGUCUAAAAAAAAAAAAAAAGGCUGGGCGCGGUGGCUCAUGCCCGUGAUCCCAGCACUUUGGGAGGCCAAGGCGGGCAGAUCACGCGGUCAGGGGAUGGAGACCAUCCUGGCUAACACAGUGAAACCCCGUCUCUACUGAAGAUGCAAAAAAUUAGCGGGGCAUGGUGGCGGAUGCCUGUAGUCCCAGCUACUCAGGAAGCUGAGGCAGGAGAAUGGUGUGAACCCGGGAGGCAGAGCUUGCAGUGAGCCGAGAUCGCACCACGGCACUCCAGCCUGGGCGACAGAGGGAGACUCUGUCUCAAAAAAAGAAAGAAAAAAAGAAAGAAAGAAAGAAAGAAAGAAAGAAAGAAAGAAAGAAAGAAAGAGAGAGAGAAAGAAAGAAAGAAAAGAAAGAAAGAAGGAAAGAAAGAAAGGAAAGAAAGAAAGAAAGAAGGAAAGAAAGAAAGGAAGAAAGAUGAAGGUAUAGUAAAUUAUGAAAAAGAGAGAAUAAGCAUCUUCAACAAGAAAAAUGGAAAUAAUAAAAACUAUACAAUUGCAAAACAAUAACUCUUGUUAAAAUAUUUUACAUGUCAUAUUGUAAAUAAUACACCCUCAGUGUAUGCAGAAAUGAUUACAUUAGUAUAGGAAACAGCUGUGAUUGUAGAUAUAUAAACUAGAGAAAUGCGAAUCAGAAAUAAGUUUAUCAACUAGAAGAGAGAAGACAUUUUUAUUUGAGUAAGUCUACUGUCUAUAAUUUAAAAAUACACAAUGGUAUUUCUUUCAUUAAAUAGCUUUAUUUAAAUAUAAAAAUAAAAGCUUAUACAUAGGCCAGAAGAAAUAUUGCUGGUUUAUAAUAAGGUUCAUAGGAACUAAAACAGGGUAAUUAGAUAAGACGGUGUGUAAAUAAUUAUGUUAUUUUAGUAAAAAUAUCCAACACUGUACCUUUCAAAUAAAAAUAUAGUUUUUUAAAGGUCAACAAAAAGUUUUUGUGCUUCAAAUUUUAACAUUUAUCCUCCAAGUGAAAUUACUAUAAGAAGAAACAACUAACCUAUAAAUA